AAGUCGUAACAAGGUUUCCGUAGGUGAACCUGCGGAAGGAUCAUUAUUGAAAUAAACCUGAUGGGUUGUUGCUGGUUCUCUAGGGAGCAUGUGCACGCCUUGUCAUCUUUAUAUCUCCACCUGUGCACCUUUUGUAGACCUUUCAGGUCUAUGUUGCCUCAUUUACCCCAAUGUAUGUUAAUAGAAUGUUGUGCCUAUAAAAUAUAUACAACUUUCAGCAACGGAUCUCUUGGCUCUC
rnacentral:misc_RNA from 1 species